rnacentral:tRNA from 1 species
GCGACGUUGGCCGAACGGUAAGGCGGCUGCCUUCCAAGCAGCAUUGCGCAGGUUCAACUCCUGUACGUCGCUCCA